AGCUCCAAUAGCGUAUAUUUUAGUUGUUGCAGUUAAAAAGCUCGUAGUUGAAUUUCUGGUGGGAGAAUGCGGUGUGACUCUUUGAGUUAUUACUUGCACUCUCUGACCAUCCUUGAGUGGAACCAUUUUGGCAUUAGGUUGUUGAGAUGGCGAUGCUCAUCGUUUACUGUGAAAAAAUUAGAGUGUUCAAAGCAGACUUAUGUCGUUGAAUACAUUAGCAUGGAAUAAUGAGAUAGGACAGCAGUGCUAUUUUGUUGGUUUGCGCGCCGUUGUAAUGAUGAAUAGGGACAGUUGUGGGUAUUCGUAUUCACUUGUAAGAGGUGAAAUUCUUAGAUUAAGGGAAGACGAACUACUGCGAAAGCAUUUACCAAGGAUGUUUUCA
rnacentral:rRNA from 1 species